GAUGAACGCUAGCGGCAGGCUUAACACAUGCAAGUCGAGGGGCAGCGGGGACUUCGGUCCGCCGGCGACCGGCAAACGGGUGCGGAACACGUACGCAACAUACCACUAACUGGGAGAUAGCCUUCUGAAAAGGAGAUUAAUACCCCAUAGCAUCAGAUUCUGGCAUCAGGGACUGAUUAAAGAUUUAUUGGUUAGUGAUUGGCGUGCGUCCUAUUAGCUAAUUGGUAGGGUAACGGCCUACCAAGGCGACGAUAGGUAGCUGGUGUGAGAGCACGACCAGCCACACGGGAACUGAGACACGGGCCCGACUCCUACGGGAGGCAGCAGUGAGGAAUAUUGGUCAAUGGACGGAAGUCUGAACCAGCCAUGCCGCGUGAAGGAUGAAGGCGUUCUGCGUUGUAAACUUCUUUUAUCUGGGAAGAAACCUACGAUUUCUAUUGUAGCCGACGGUACCAGAGGAAUAAGCACCGGCUAACUCCGUGCCAGCAGCCGCCGCAG
rnacentral:rRNA from 1 species